rnacentral:rRNA from 1 species
CCCAGAACCCUUUGUGAACUUAUACCUACUGUUGCCUCGGCGCAGGCCGGCCUCUUCUCUGAGGCCCCCUGGAAACAGGGAGCAGCCCGCCGGCGGCCAACCAAACUCUUGUUUCUAUAGUGAAUCUCUGAGUAAAAAACAUAAAUGAAUCAAAACUUUCAACAACGGAUCUCUUGGUUCUGGCAUCGAUGAAGAACGCAGCGAAAUGCGAUAAGUAAUGUGAAUUGCAGAAUUCAGUGAAUCAUCGAAUCUUUGAACGCACAUUGCGCCCUCUGGUAUUCCGGAGGGCAUGCCUGUUCGAGCGUCAUUUCAACCCUCAAGCCUGGCUUGGUGAUGGGGCACUGCCUGUAAAAGGGCAGGCCCUGAAAUCUAGUGGCGAGCUCGCCAGGACCCCGAGCGUAGUAGUUAUAUCUCGCUCUGGAAGGCCCUGGCGGUGCCCUGCCGUUAAACCCCCAACUUCUGAAAAUUUGACCUCGGAUCAGGUAGGAAUACCCGCUGAACUUAAGCAUAUCAAUAAGCGGAGGAA